rnacentral:rRNA from 1 species
UCGGGAAUAUUGGACAAUGGGCGCAAGCCUGAUCCAGCAAUACCGCGUGUGUGAAGAAGGCCUGCGGGUUGUAAAGCACUUUCAGUUGGGAAGAUAAUGACGUUACCAACAGAAGAAGCACCGGCUAACUCCGUGCCAGCAGCCGCGGUAAUACGGAGGGUGCAAGCGUUAAUCGGAAUUACUGGGCGUAAAGCGCACGUAGGCGGUUUUCUAAGUCAGAUGUGAAAUCCCCGGGCUUAACCUGGGAACUGCACCUGAUACUGGAAGACUAGAAUGUGGGAGAGGAGAGUGGAAUUUCCGGUGUAGCGGUGAAAUGCAUAGAGAUCGGAAGGAACACCAGUGGCGAAGGCGGCUCUCUGGACCAACAUUGACGCUGAGGUGCGAAAGCGUGGGUAGCAAACA